UACGGAGGGUGCAAGCGUUAUCCGGAUUCACUGGGUUUAAAGGGUGCGUAGGUGGGCUUGAAAGUCAGUGGUGAAAUCUUCGGGCUUAACCCGGAAACUGCCAUUGAUACUUUAGGUCUUGAAUUUCCUGGAGGUUAGCGGAAUAUGUCAUGUAGCGGUGAAAUGCUUAGAUAUGACAUAGAACACCAAUUGCGAAGGCAGCUGGCUACAGGAACAUUGACACUGAGGCACGAAAGCGUGGGGAUCAAACAGG
rnacentral:rRNA from 1 species